rnacentral:rRNA from 1 species
AGUUUGAUCCUGGCUCAGGAUGAACGCUAGCGACAGGCUUAACGCAUGCAAGUCGAGGGGCAGCGGGGUAGGAAGCUUGCUUUCUGCCGCCGGAGACCGGCGCACGGGUGAGUAACACGUAUGCAACCUGUCCGCGACUGAUGGAUAACCGGGAGAAAUCCCGCCUAAUACAACAUAAUGCCGGGAGGGGACAUCCCCUGCCGGCCAAAGGGGGCGACCCCGGUCACGGAUGGGCAUGCGGCGCAUUAGGUAGUUGGUGGGGCAACGGCCCCCCAAGCCGACGAUGCGUAGGGGUUUUGAGAGGAAGGUCCCCCACAUUGCAACUGAGACCCGGUCCAAACUCCUACGGGAGGCAGCCGUGAGGAAUAUUGGUCAAUGGCGGGAAGGCUGAACCAACCAAGUUGGGUGAGGGAAUAAGGCCCUACAGGUUGUUAACCUUUUUUGCCAGGGAGCAAUGCCGUCCACCUGUGGACGGUAGGAGAGUACCUGGAGAAAAAGCAUCGGCUAACUCCGUGCCAGCAGCCGCGGUAAUACGGAGGAUGCGAGCGUUAUCCGGAUUUAUUGGGUUUAAAGGGUGCGUAGGCGGCCUAUCAAGUCAGCGGUAAAAUUGCGGGGCUCAACCUCGUACAGCCGUUGAAACUGCCGGUCUCGAGUGGGCGAGAAGUAUGCGGAAUGCGUGGUGUAGCGGUGAAAUGCAUAGAUAUCACGCAGAACUCCGAUUGCGAAGGCAGCAUACCGGCGCCCGACUGACGCUGAGGCACGAAAGUGCGGGGAUCAAACAGGAUUAGAUACCCUGGUAGUCCGCACAGUAAACGAUGAAUGCUAGCUGUCCGGGGGGACUGACCCCUGGGUGGCACAGCGAAAGCGUUAAGCAUUCCACCUGGGGAGUACGCCGGCACCGGUGAAACUCAAAGGAAUUGUCGGGGGCCCGCACAAGCGGAGGAACAUGUGGUUUAAUUGGAUGAUACGAGAGGAACCUUACCCGGGAUCAAACGCUGAAGCGACAUUCCCCGAAAGGGGAUUGGCCAGCAGUGCUCUUCGCAGAGGUCCUGCAUGGUUCUUGUCAGCUGGUUCCGUGAGGUGUCGGAUUAAGUGCCAGAACGACCGCAACCCCCACCGACAGUUGCUAACUGGUCAAGCAGAGGAGUCUGUCGGGACAGCCGGCGCAAGCUGCGAGGAAGGCGGGGAGGACGUCAAAUCAGCACGGCCCUGACGUCCGGGGCUGACACACGUGUUACAAUGGCAGGUACAACGGGAUGCCAUGGGGCGCCCCAGAGCGGAACCCGAAAACCUGUUUCAUUUCGGAUGGGAGUGUGCAACCCGAAUCCAUGAAGACGGGUUCGCUAGCAAUCGCGCAUCAGCCACGGAGCGGUGAAUACGUUCCCGGCCCUAGCACACACCGCCCGUCA